rnacentral:rRNA from 1 species
CCUACGGGUGGCAGCAGUGAGGAAUAUUGGUCAAUGGACGAGAGUCUGAACCAGCCAAGUAGCGUGAAGGAUGACUGCCCUAUGGGUUGUAAACUUCUUUUAUAUGGGAAUAAAAUGUUCCACGUGUGGGAUUUUGUAUGUACCAUAUGAAUAAGGAUCGGCUAACUCCGUGCCAGCAGCCGCGGUAAUCCGGAGGAUCCGAGCGUUAUCCGGAUUUAUUGGGUUUAAAGGGAGCGUAGGUGGAUGGGUAAGUCAGUUGUGAAAGUUUGCGGCUCAACCGUAAAAUUGCAGUUGAAACUGGCAGUCGUGAGUACAGUAGAGGUGGGCGGAAUUCGUGGUGUAGCGGUGAAAUGCUUAGAUAUCACGAAGAACUCCGAUUGCGAAGGCAGCUCACUGGACUGCAACUGACACUGAGGCUCGAAAGUGUGGGUAUCAAACAGGAUUAGAGACCCCAGUAGUC